GACGAACGCUGGCGGCGUGCUUAACACAUGCAAGUCGAACGGAAAGGCCCUGCUUUUGUGGGGUGCUCGAGUGGCGAACGGGUGAGUAACACGUGAGUAACCUGCCCUUGACUUUGGGAUAACUUCAGGAAACUGGGGCUAAUACCGGAUAGGAGCUCCUGCUGCAUGGUGGGGGUUGGAAAGUUUCGGCGGUUGGGGAUGGACUCGCGGCUUAUCAGCUUGUUGGUGGGGUAGUGGCUUACCAAGGCUUUGACGGGUAGCCGGCCUGGGAGGGUGGCCGGCCACAUUGGGACUGAGAGACGGCCCAGACGCCUACGGGAGGCAGCAGUGGGGAAUAUUGCACAAUGGGCGGAAGCCUGAUGCAGCAACGCCGCGUGCGGGAUGACGGCCUUCGGGUUGUAAACCGCUUUCGCCUGUGACGAAGCGUGAGUGACGGUAAUGGGUAAAGAAGCACCGGCUAACUACGUG
rnacentral:rRNA from 1 species